CCUACGGGGGGCAGCAGUGGGGAAUCUUGCGCAAUGGUCGAAAGCCUGACGCAGCGACGCCGCGUGCGGGAGGAAGGUCUUCGGAUCGUAAACCGCUGUCAGAGGGGACGAACCGCCCUGGGAGGCAAUGCCUGGGGCUUGACGGUACCCUCAGAGGAAGCACCGGCUAACUCCGUGCCAGCAGCCGCGGUAAAACGUAGGAGGCGAGCGUUAUCCGGAUUCACUGGGCGUAAAGCGCGUGCAGGUGGCGCGGUAAGUUAGGCGUGAAAUCUCCCGGCUCAACUGGGAGAGGUCGUCUAAUACUACCGCGCUUGAGAGCAGAAGAGGAAGAUGGAAUUCCCGGUGUAGUGGUGAAAUGCGUAGAUAUCGGGAGGAACACCAGUGGCGAAGGCGAUCUUCUGGUCUGUUUCUGACACUCAGACGCGACAGCUAGGGUAGUA
rnacentral:rRNA from 1 species